rnacentral:rRNA from 1 species
GACGAACGCUGGCGGCGUGCUUAACACAUGCAAGUCGAACGGAAAGGCCCUGCUUUUGUGGGGUGCUCGAGUGGCGAACGGGUGAGUAACACGUGAGUAACCUGCCCUUGACUGUGGGAUAACUUCAGGAAACUGGGGCGAAUACCGGAUAGGAGCUCCUGCUGCAUGGUGGGGGUUGGAAAGUUUCGGCGGUUGGGGAUGGACUCGCGGCUUAUCAGCUUGUUGGUGGGGUAGUGGCUUACCAAGGCUUUGACGGGUAGCCGGCCUGAGAGGGUGACCGGCCACAUUGGGCCUGCGAUACGGCCCAGACUCCUACGGGCGGCAGCAGUGGGGAAUAUUGCACAAUGGGCGGAAGCCUGAUGCAGAAACGCCGCGUGCGGGAUGACGGCCUUCGGGUUGUAAACCGCUUUCGACUGUGACGAAGCGUGCGUGACGGUAAUGGGUAAAGAAGCACCGGCUAACUACGUG